UACAGAGGGUGCGAGCGUUGUCCGGAAUCACUGGGCGUAAAGCGUGCGUAGGCGGUUCGUUAAGUCUGUUGUGAAAGCCCUGGGCUCAACCUGGGAAUUGCAUUGGAUACUGGCAGGCUAGAGUGCGGUAGAGGAUGGCGGAAUUCCCGGUGUAGCAGUGAAAUGUGUAGAGAUCGGGAGGAACAUCUGUGGCGAAGGCGGCCAUCUGGACCAGCACUGACACUGAGGCACGAAAGCGUGGGGAGCAAACAGG
rnacentral:rRNA from 1 species